UAUUUAAUACAUCACUACAAGUUGCCUAGUUAUGCAACACAACAGAAAUUUACCGAAUAAUAAUAUAUGAAAUAGCCUAAAUGCAAUCAGUAAAAGAAACAAAGAAAAAGCUAAAUUAAAACUUCAAAGUUACAGUCUUCAUAUGUAUUCAUGCUUUCACAUUUCAGCUUAUAAUAUCGACAAUGUUACAGCCAUAUACCUGAUAUUGGAAGUAAAAGAAGAGGAAGAUCAGCAGAAAUUAGUAGCAUACAACAACAGCAACACCCAGCAACAACCAACAACAGAUACCUAGGGACAUAUUUGGAAAACCCACAAAAUUCCAGGAAUAACCAGCGAAGCAGUAGCAAAUACACAAAUAGCAACCCAGGAAAAAGAAGAAAGAACCAGAAGCAGUAGAGUAGUAGUUUUCUGGUUUUCCAAUACUCAAGGAAAGAGAAGCUUGAAGCUUUAAUGGAAUAGCAGCAAACUAGCAACAAUUUUAAGGUUCAAAAUACAACCUCUAUUUCAGUCUUUGAGUUGUGGACCUUCUUUGUGUUUUUCUAAAUUCCAACAGAUUUUUAAUUAAAUUCUAAAUUUUGUCUUCAAAACAUCCCCACUUCCUUAUGUCCAAGUUUGGCUAUUUAUCUCCCAAAAUAGACUAUUUUCAGCCCUUUUUUUUUCUUUUUCAGCGGUCAAAGAAAAUCUUUUAUUAUUACCCUCACUCCUUUUUACUUUCCACCUUUAUAUUCCCUCCCUAUGUGCACCCUUUUUAGCUUUUUCAUUAUUAUUUUCUUCUUUUUUUGCUCAUUAUAUUUUGUUCCCCACUACUACAUGUCUUGUCCCCCACUAUAUUAUUUUAAUAUUAUUAGUGCUUAGAAGACAGAAUAUUUAAACUAAUCAUUUUUACACUUUUAAAUCCCAAGAUACCCAUGAUAUUAAUGGAAUUAUAAUUAUACCCCAUCAGCUAUAAUCAACUCACAUAAUCAAUUAACCAUAUGAAACUAACUCAUAAUCAAUAACAUUCCGGAAUCACUUCAAUAAAGUCAUAUUCAUAUUAGAAUUAACAGCACAAUCCACUAGAUUUAAAUUACCAAACUCAACAUCACUUAAACUUCAAAUUAAGACCGACAAUAUUACAACCAAGAUGAAGGAUUCAAGUGAUUAAAUUAACACACUGCUAUAAUAAAACUAAACAAGAAUAAAUGAAUAAAAACAAACUGAACUCAUAUGCAAGAAUUGAUAAACAACGAACAAAAAAAAGAAUCAAACAUCACACAAAAAUGAAGCAAUUCAAACCAGUAAAUAAUCAUAAGAUAUUAUCACAAAUAAAUAGAUCAAACAUAUACACUAAUUUCGGAUUCAAAAAAAAAAUCUAAGAAAAUCAAACAAGUUGAAACACGGACAAAAGAAAUGAAACUUGAACCAACUGACCGGAUCGGAGCUACCACGGAUUGAUCUUGAAAACUUCGGACAAAACCUCAACCGGACAAACUUGAAACUCGCUGGAAAAGAACAACAAAGAUCCGCUGAAACAGUGAUCUCGGAUCUCGACGGAACUGGGAACUCAUACGCGAACAUACAUAUGAACGCAACCUCAACAACAACAACAAUAAAAACAACAACAAUAACUAACCAGUAUAUUCCCAUCAGGUGGGGUCUGGGGAGGGUAAUAUGUAGACGAGCCUUACCCUACCCGAAAGGGUAGAGAGGCUGUUUCCAAUCGACCCUCGGC
rnacentral:lncRNA from 1 species